CGUGUAGGCGGCAUAUUAAGUUGGAUGUGAAAGCUCCUGGCUCAACUGGGAGAGGACGUUCAAUACUGGUAGGCUAGAGGGCGACAGAGGGAGGUGGAAUUCCCGGUGUAGUGGUGAAAUGCGUAGAUAUCGGGAGGAACACCAGUGGCGAAGGCGGCCUCCUGGGUCGCACCUGACGCUCAGACGCGAAAGCUAGGGGAGCGAACGG
rnacentral:rRNA from 1 species